UACAGAGGGUGCGAGCGUUGUCCGGAAUCACUGGGCGUAAAGGGCGCGUAGGCGGCUCGGUAAGCGUGCGGUGAAAGCCCGGGGCUCAACCCCGGGUCGGCCGUGCGAACUGCAGAGCUGGAGCACUGUAGAGGCAGGUGGAAUUCCGGGUGUAGCGGUGGAAUGCGUAGAGAUCCGGAAGAACACCGGUGGCGAAGGCGGGUCGCUGGGCAGUAACUGACGCUGAGGAGCGAAAGCGUGGGGAGCGAACAGG
rnacentral:rRNA from 1 species